UGGGGCACUUUCAGUCUCAUGCCCAAAUCUUGUAGAAAUGUGCAGUAGGAUUUACGUAAGUAAGUCUCCUUCUUCAAGUCAAUGCCGUCACAUCUGGAUGGAGAGUUUUCUUCGAUUUCCUUUCUAGAAAAGUACCAACGACUGCCUUCCUCUGGUUUUUCCUGAGAAUAAUUCUGCAGGUUUGUUCCAUGAUGAGAAGAGUCACCAGGCAGUGAAUUAGCCAUGUGUGUCCUUGCACAACUGAUGUAUCCAAAAUUUAUAUAAAAAAAUCUCUAUAUGCGACAACGGUGCUGCCUAAAUCACCAUGUCCUAUAGAAGCUCCCUUAUAUAGAGCCCAAAAGAAGAAAAUAAAGAAGAAUUCGACGAACGAACUCCAAGCUCGAACGAGU
rnacentral:misc_RNA from 1 species